AUGGUCAUAUUUCUCCUAUCACUUGGUGACACAGCCACACCUUCAGAAGCCGCUGAGUGCGUAGUCCUCACCAUUGACUGGACCUGGAGAAUUCUCUUUCUGGUGGCAGUGGCUUCAGGUGUGAACUCCCAAGUACAGCUUGUGCAGUCGGGAGCUGAGGUGGAAAAACCUGGGACAUCAGUGAAGAUCUCCUGCAAGGUGUCCGGAUCCACCUUCACAAGCUAUACGAUGAGCUGGGUGAGGCAGGUCCCAGAACAAGGUCUUGAGUGGAUGGGAAGGAUACGAACUGACAAUGGUGAAACAAGAUAUGCACCGAAGUUCCAGGGAAGACUCACACUCACUAUGGACACGUCCAAGGACACAGCCUACAUGGAACUGAGCAGGCUGAGCACUGCGGACAGGGCGGUGUAUUACUGUGCGAGAUACACAGUGUGA